rnacentral:rRNA from 1 species
AUGGUGCUCUGCGGCACGGCCAGCUUCAAGGACGUUGACAAGGAAGAGCCGAUGAGUGGCGGAGGCAAGCAGGCGCAGAGGAAGGAGAAGAAGAAGCCGGGCGCCGGGAAGAAGGAGAACCCGUACGCGUCGCGCGGGCUCGACAAGUUCUCCAUGGUGCUCGCGGAGCUCGAGUCCCGGCGGGAGAAGGUCCUGCGCCGCGUCGACGGCGGCGACCACGUCAUGGUCCGGUUCGUGCAGUCCGAGACCAAGGGCUGGGUGCCCAUCGUCGUCAAGCUGCCCGCGGAAGAGCCCGCCGCCAAGGCCGAGCCAAAGAAGAAGUGCAAGCAGCCGCCGUCGCCGCGGACGGAGUCCACCAGCCCGAGAGGAGCUGCAGCGCCGACGAAGAAGAAGGCUUCGCCCGCCGGGAGGUGGUCGUGGGCGGACAAGGCGAUUAGGCCGAGCCAGUACUGGCCGUUCGUGGCGGUGCUGCUCUUGCUGAGCCUGGUCGUGUUCGGGAGGAUGUUCGCCAUCUGCUGCACCUCCAUCUGGUGGUACCUCGUGCCCAUCUUGAACGGCGAGGAUGGAGGACCGAGAUCCGCAAGACCGGCAGGCAUCUCGGCAAGAAGGCGAGCGAAGAAGAUCGGCGAGAAGAUUACUUGGGCGUCAUUGCCUCCAAGAUCACAUGGCAAGAAAAGUAGUAGCUCCGGCGACCAUGACGUGAUUUCACCUAGAAGCCAUGCACAUGGGAAGAAAGGGUAA